GAUGAACGCUGGCGGCGUGCCUAAUACAUGCAAGUCGAGCGAACAGACGAGGAGCUUGCUCCUCUGACGUUAGCGGCGGACGGGUGAGUAACACGUGGAUAACCUACCUAUAAGACUGGGAUAACUUCGGGAAACCGGAGCUAAUACCGGAUAAUAUAUUGAACCGCAUGGUUCAAUAGUGAAAGACGGUUUUGCUGUCACUUAUAGAUGGAUCCGCGCCGCAUUAGCUAGUUGGUAAGGUAACGGCUUACCAAGGCAACGAUGCGUAGCCGACCUGAGAGGGUGAUCGGCCACACUGGAACUGAGACACGGUCCAGACUCCUACGGGAGGCAGCAGUAGGGAAUCUUCCGCAAAGGGCGAAAGCUUGACGGAGCAACGCCGCGUGAGUGAUGAAGGUCUUCGGAUCGUAAGACUCUGUUAUUAGGGAAGAACAAAUGUGUAAGUAACUAUGCACGUCUUGACGGUACCUAAUCAGAAAGCCACGGCUAACUACGUG
rnacentral:rRNA from 1 species